ACGAAGGGGGCUAGCGUUGCUCGGAAUCACUGGGCGUAAAGGGCGCGUAGGCGGCCGAUUAAGUCGGGGGUGAAAGCCUGUGGCUCAACCACAGAAUUGCCUUCGAUACUGGUUGGCUUGAGACCGGAAGAGGACAGCGGAACUGCGAGUGUAGAGGUGAGAUGCGUCGAUACUCCCGAGAACACGAGUGGGGAAGGCGGGGAAAUGGUCCUGUUCUGCCGCUUAGGCGGGAAAGCGUGGCUAACACACAG
rnacentral:rRNA from 1 species